AGCGAACGCUGGCGGCAGGCUUAACACAUGCAAGUCGAGCGGGCAUCUUCGGAUGUCAGCGGCAGACGGGUGAGUAACACGUGGGAACGUACCCUUCGGUUCGGAACAACUCUGGGAAACUGGAGCUAAUACCGGAUACGCCCUUAUGGGGAAAGGUUUACUGCCGAAGGAUCGGCCCGCGUCUGAUUAGCUAGUUGGUGGGGUAACGGCCUACCAAGGCGACGAUCAGUAGCUGGUCUGAGAGGAUGAUCAGCCACACUGGGACUGAGACACGGCCCAGACUCCUACGGGAGGCAGCAGUGGGGAAUAUUGGACAAUGGGCGCAAGCCUGAUCCAGCCAUGCCGCGUGAGUGAUGAAGGCCUUAGGGUUGUAAAGCUCUUUUGUCCGGGACGAUAGUGACGGUACCGGAAGAAUAAGCCCCGGCUAACUUCGUG
rnacentral:rRNA from 1 species